rnacentral:lncRNA from 1 species
CCCCCCCCCCCCCGACCCGGAGCAGCGCGGGGGCACGUAAACCACAAACGGGGGCAGCCGGGCCGGGGACCCCCCGUGGUGUGGGCUCACCGCCGGGGAGCGGGGACACCGGCUCACCGCCGGGCCGGGCGCGGGGCCGCAAGGAGCAUCAGGCCAGAGGGUCCCGCGGGCCUGGUCCCUCGCCCACCCGGCAAUACCGCCCAGGGGCACCGGGCGCGCCUCGGGGACGCGCAGCCCCGCCGAAAGCGCGCAGCGGCCCCCCCCGCCCCGCUCCACCUUAACCAGCCCCCUGCACCGCCCCGGCGGCGUUCGCAGCUGCCAUUGGCUACCGCUGCGGGAGCGCCAGCCAAUCCCCCUGCGCCGUUCCCACAUGGGUUCGUGACGCCACUCGCCGGGAAGGCCAAUGAGGAGCUGAACGGGCCACGGCCGCGCGAGCGGCGACGGCGCGGGGCACGCUGGGAGCUGUCGUCCGCCGCCGGGCCGGGGCCGCGGGGCCUGUCCCGCCUGUUCCGCCCGAGCCCGGCCGGUCCGGCCCGACCGCUGCCCGCGGGGCCCGGGGGGGCGGUGCGGAACUCUGGGCAGGCUCGGCCCCGUGCUGCUGGCGCUCCCGGGGCGGGCGGCCGGGGCGGGCGGACUCCGCGGCCCACAAGGCCUCGCGGCGCCGCCGGCUGCCACUCAAAGUAACGUGGGGCGGCGGGGCCGGGCCGGGCUCCCCGCUGGCCCCGAGGCUGCCCCGGCCGGCAGCGCGGGGAGGGGGUGGAAAGCCCCGGCCGGCCCCGGGGCCCGCGGCCCUCGGCGGAGUUUCCCGGCGGCUGCCGCUGACCGGGAGCACCACGGCUCGCCGCCGGGCCGGCCCCUCCGCGGGGAGCAGAGCGGCUGCCUGGGGGCCCACCCCGGCCCGGGGCAGCGGGGUCGCCCCGGCACCGCGACCCCUGAGUCCUGCCGGUGGGACGAGGUCGGGCCCUGCCCCGGCUCUCCCGGCGCCGUCUCCCUCCCCAGCGGCCCCGGGCAGCCCCCGGCCCCAGGCAGCCUCUGGCCCGAGAGCCCCCCGCUCCGCCCAGGGCCCCCCCGGUCCCCCCCAGCCCUCCUCGCCCCCCUCCCCCCUCAGCCUGCUGCAAAGCCCCUGCACUUGUGGCUGGGAGCGCAGGGAACAGGCCUUCAAUAUUGCAGGACCCAGCUGUACCUGUGCACUGCACAGCCAGGCACGAGGCCCUCAGCAUGCAGCAGCAACAGGAGCUGGUCCCACUCCUCCCUCCAGUCACAAGGAUGCAAGGUGCAGGGCAGAGGACGCGGCUCAGACCAGCCACCAAAGCUGGGCUCAGCCCCGGCUGCCACCGCCCGCUGCAGGAUGCUCAGCCAGGGGCCCAGCUUCUCCCCACGGCAGCGCUUGGAAGAGCCCCAAAAGAUGAGGGCGUUUGAAAUCCAUGCCAGGAUCGGGAGGGGAGUGCUGUAA